CAAAGAAGAGAAGGAGACAGAGUUCAAGGGUCAUUGAAGUCUCUGGGGAGAAGGUUGUGUUGGUUUGAAAAGAAAGAUAAUGGCAACAGAAAAUGAUUGGCAGAAUUCCUUCAAUAGCUUCAGAGAAGGAAAUAAUCUUGGGUGUGGCUACAGAGAACCCCAGACUUAGAGAGUCUGCAUGUUAAAGAUUUUCUGUCAGAAAACCAGAAUGAAGACAAAAAUCAGAGCUUGGCUUUGUCUCUUUGAACACUGUCCAUGCCCUCUUUACAGCAUUAAGAACAGAUGAGCCAGGCACUGCACUUGAAUGGUGACACUAUGCUUCGUGGGUACCGCUGUUUUUCCUUGAGAUAGAGUUCUGAGAGGAAUGCUUGAUGAACAUAUUGAUUUCUCCUCAGGGUGAAGAACUCUCUUUUAAAUAAACAAGCUCGGAAUUCAAAAUACUCUUUUUUUUU